UACUUACACAUGCAUGGCUUAAUCUUUGAGACAAGCAUAUGACUACUGGCAGGAUCAACCAGGUAGCAUUCCUCUUUGACAUAGAACAUCACGCAGGUACGAGCCUAGGCGCGCAUGAACCGUCAUCUAGAGAACACCAAACAAGGGCAAAACAAGGAUCAUGAAAGAACCCAUGCCCACAUUAUGUACCAUAUCCAAGAGACCAAGCAAAACUCAAUGGGCCACACAAUCAAUGCAACGUGCAUCAAUAGUAUGAAUCAUAGAGACCACUUCAAGUUUCAUCAUGCGUCAAAAUUUAACACAUAACAAAAGAGGAAUUCAAUCGAUCGGAACAAUACCAUCAAUUAGGUAUGCAACACAAGAAACCCACAAUACAUUCAAAGCAAUACAAGCCUUGACACAUAACUGAGGAGGUAAGCCAGGUGGAAGU
rnacentral:misc_RNA from 1 species